rnacentral:rRNA from 1 species
AUUGAACGCUGGCGGCAUGCCUUACACAUGCAAGUCGAACGGUAACAGAUCUUCGGAUGCUGACGAGUGGCGAACGGGUGAGUAAUACAUCGGAACGUGCCCGAUCGUGGGGGAUAACGAAGCGAAAGCUUUGCUAAUACCGCAUACGAUCUACGGAUGAAAGCAGGGGACCGCAAGGCCUUGCGCGAACGGAGCGGCCGAUGGCAGAUUAGGUAGUUGGUGGGAUAAAAGCUUACCAAGCCGACGAUCUGGAGCUGGUCUGAGAGGACGACCAGCCACACUGGGACUGAGACACGGCCCAGACUCCUACGGGAGGCAGCAGUGGGGAAUUUUGGACAAUGGGCGAAAGCCUGAUCCAGCCAUGCCGCGUGCAGGAUGAAGGCCUUCGGGUUGUAAACUGCUUUUGUACGGAACGAAAAGACUCUGGUUAAUACCUGGGGUCCAUGACGGUACCGUAAGAAUAAGCACCGGCUAACUACGUGCCAGCAGCCGCCGUAA